rnacentral:rRNA from 1 species
AAGGAACCGGAUAGCAGGCGGGCUGGACCUCUCGGGGUUACAGCCUUGCAUGAAUUAUUCACCCUUGUCUUUUGCGUACUUCUUGUUUCCUUGGUGGGUUCGCCCACCACUAGGACAAACAUAAACCUUUUGUAAUUGCAAUCAGCGUCAGUAACAAAUUAAUAAUUACAACUUUCAACAACGGAUCUCUUGGUUCUGGCAUCGAUGAAGAACGCAGCGAAAUGCGAUAAGUAGUGUGAAUUGCAGAAUUCAGUGAAUCAUCGAAUCUUUGAACGCACAUUGCGCCCUUUGGUAUUCCAAAGGGCAUGCCUGUUCGAGCGUCAUUUGUACCCUCAAGCUUUGCUUGGUGUUGGGCGUCUUGUCUCUAGCUUUGCUGGAGACUCGCCUUAAAGUAAUUGGCAGCCGGCCUACUGGUUUCGGAGCGCAGCACAAGUCGCACUCUCUAUCAGCAAAGGUCUAGCAUCCAUUAAGCCUUUUUUUCAACUUUUGACCUCGGAUCAGGUAGGGAUACCCGCUGAACUUAAGCAUAUCAAUAAGCGGGAGAGAA